AGAACGAACGCUGGCGGCAGGCCUCAAACAUGCAAGUCUAGGGGGUGUAGCAAUACAUCACCGGCGGACGGGUGCGUAACGCGUGGGAAUGUACCUAUUGGUUCGGAACAACUGAGGGAAACUUCAGCUAAUACCGGAUGAGCCCGAAAGGGGAAAGAUUUCUCGCCAAUAGAUCAGCCCGCGUCCGAUUAGCUAGUUGGUGGGGUUAAAGCCUACCAAGGCGACGAUCGGUAGCUGGUCUGAGAGGAUGACCAGCAUCACUGGGACUGAGACACGGCCCAGACUCCUACGGGAGGCAGCAGUGGGGAAUAUUGGACAAUGGGCGCAAGCCUGAUCCAGCCAUGCCGCGUGGAUGAUGAAGGCCUUAGGGUUGUAAAGUCCUUUUAACGGGGAAGAUAAAUGACGGUACCCGUAGAAUAAGCCCGGCUAACUUCGUGCCAGCAGCCGC
rnacentral:rRNA from 1 species